CGUUUAGAGAUUGUCACUGCCAUUAACCACGUGAGUGGAUAUGGGAAUACAAUUGUUGA
rnacentral:ncRNA from 1 species